GCGGGCCGUGAGAGCGGGAGCCCGGAGAUGGGCACUGAGACAAGGGCCCAGGCCCUACGGGGCGCAGCAGUCGCGAAAACUUUGCAAUACACGAAAGUGUGACAGGGCUAUCCCGAGUGCCAUCCGCUGAGGAAGGCUUUUACCCAGUCUAGAACGCUGGGGGAAUAAGGAGAGGGCAAGUCUGGUGUCAGCCGCCGCGGUAAUACCAGCUCUCCGAGUGGUGUGGAUGUUUAUUGGGCCUAAAGCAUCCGUAGCUGGCUAAGUUAGUCC
rnacentral:rRNA from 1 species